rnacentral:lncRNA from 1 species
UGUCACAACAGUUGGACAAGUCAGGAAACUCCGUCCCAGCCAGGAAAUGGCAGAGGCAGAAAUCAUACACAGAUGGGCUUAUACAACCAAUCAGUCUUGCAGCUGUGUUAGGCCACGUGCCCGACGCUCAGUAGGCAUCCGGUGGUACAAAGAGCCUUCUGUAAACAGCCUCUUCCUCUGAGGCAGGAAAUGUGACAGACCAGCAAGCGGGAAGGCAAGGCAGGCUGUGAUGAGGAGAGCAGGCUGGAUCCUCUCGGUGGUUUACAACACCCACAGCACUGUGCAGUGGAUUCAGAAGGAUGGUAUUCAACCCCGGUGUCAGUGAAUUUGAGGUUUGGAGAGGGGCAGAUCUCUCUGAUGCUCCAACCCCUGUGUUCAUUGAGGCCAGAGGCAAUGUUUCUUACAGAAUGUGUCACUGACAGAACAAUGUCCUGGGAUAGAGCUGGCUUCCAAGCCUGAAGCUCACAGUGGCAACAUAAAGGGCUGGCUCUUCCUAAGUGGUGGGGGGAGACCCUGCACCCUUACCUCAUUCUCUGUCCUGGGAGGGACAUUUUCUAAUAAAUCUAUGCCGUUGACGACG